AAAGGUAAGCUACUAAGAGCGAAUGGUGGAUGCCUUGACUGGUAAAGGCGAUGAAGGACGUACUAGACUGCGAUAAGCUACGGGGAGCUGUCAAGAAGCUUUGAUCCGUAGAUUUCCGAAUGGGGCAACCCAAUGUAUAGAGAUAUACAUUACCUAUAUAGGAGCGAACGAGGGGAAUUGAAACAUCUUAGUACCCUCAGGAAAAGAAAUCAAUAGAGAUUGCGUCAGUAGCGGCGAGCGAAAGCGCAAGAGGGCAAACCCAGUGCUUGCACUGGGGGUUGUAGGACUGCAAUGUGCAAGAGGUAAGUUUAGCAGAACAUUCUGGAAAGUAUAACCAUAGAGGGUGAUAGUCCCGUAUGCGAAAAACAAACCUUAGCUAGCAGUAUCCUGAGUAGGGCGGGACACGAGGAAUCCUGUCUGAAUCCGGGUCGACCACGAUCCAACCCUAAAUACUAAUACCAGAUCGAUAGUGCACAAGUACCGUGAGGGAAAGGUGAAAAGAACUGAGGUGAUCAGAGUGAAAUAGAACCUGAAACCAUUUGCUUACAAUCAUUCAGAGCCCUAUGUAGCAAUACAGGGUGAUGGACUGCCUUUUGCAUAAUGAGCCUGCGAGUUGUGGUGUCUGGCAAGGUUAAGCAAACGCGAAGCCGUAGCGAAAGCGAGUCUGAAUAGGGCGCUUAGUCAGAUGCUGCAGACCCGAAACGAAGUGAUCUAUCCAUGAGCAAGUUGAAGCUAGUGUAAGAACUAGUGGAGGACUGAACCCAUAGGCGUUGAAAAGCCCCGGGAUGACUUGUGGAUAGGGGUGAAAGGCCAAUCAAACUUCGUGAUAGCUGGUUCUCUCCGAAAUAUAUUUAGGUAUAGCGUUGUGUCGUAAUAUAAGGGGGUAGAGCACUGAAUGGGCUAGGGCAUACACCAAUGUACCAAACCCUAU
rnacentral:rRNA from 1 species